rnacentral:rRNA from 1 species
ACCAGACUCCUACGGGAGGCAGCAGUGGGGGAUAUUGCACAAUGGGGGAAACCCUGAUGCAGCGACGCCGCGUGAGUGAAGAAGUAUUUCGGUAUGUAAAGCUCUAUCAGCAGGGAAGAAGAAAGACGGUACCUGAGUAAGAAGCCCCGGCUAACUACGUGCCAGCAGCCGCGGUAAUACGUAGGGGGCAAGCGUUAUCCGGAUUUACUGGGUGUAAAGGGAGCGUAGACGGUAUGGCAAGUCUGAAGUGAAAGCCCCGGGCUCAACCUGGGAACUGCUUUGGAAACUGUUAAACUAGAGUGCUGGAGAGGCAGGCGGAAUUCCUAGUGUAGCGGUGAAAUGCGUAGAUAUUAGGAGGAACACCAGUGGCGAAGGCGGCCUGCUGGACAGUAACUGACGUUGAGGCUCGAAGGCGUGGGGAGCAAACAGGAUUAGAUACCCCCGUAA